AGAGUUUGAUCCUGGCUCAGAACGAACGCUGGCGGCGUGCCUAACACAUGCAAGUCCAACGUGAAAGGGGAGCAAUCCCCCGGUAGGGUGGCAAACGGGUGAGUAAUACAUGGGUGAUCUACCUUAGGGAUGGGGAUAUCCUUCCGAAAGGAGGGGCAAUACCGAAUAUUGUCCGGAGCCGUGAAGGGUUCCGGGGAAAGGGAGGCCUCUGAUACAAGCUUUCGCCUUAAGAUGAGCCCAUGGCCCAUCAGCUAGUUGGUAGGGUAAAGGCCUACCAAGGCUACGACGGGUCGCUGGUCUGAGAGGACGACCAGCCGCACUGGCACUGAGAUACGGGCCAGACUCCUACGGGAGGCGAC
rnacentral:rRNA from 1 species